AAUGAACGUUGGCGGCGUGGAUUAGGCAUGCAAGUCGAGCGAGAACCCCGCAAGGGGGGACAGCGGCAAACGGGGUAGUAAUGUGUCGGAACGUGCCCUCUGGACGGGGAUAGCGGCGGGAAACUGCCGGUAAUACCCGAUGAACUCGAGAGAGCAAAGGUGUGAUUCCGCCGGAGGAGCGGCCGACAUGGUAUUAGCUAGUUGGCGGGGUAACGGCCCACCAAGGCUGUGAUGCCUAGGGGAUGUGAGAGCAUGAUCCCCACCAUUGGGACUGAGACACUGCCCAGACACCUACGGGUGGCUGCAGUCGAGAAUCUUCGUCAAUGGGCGAAAGCCUGAACGAGCGACGCCGCGUGUGGGAUGAAGGCCUUUGGGUUGUAAACCACUGUCGAGGGGGAUGAAGGCAUUCAGGUCCUCCUGAAUGUUUGACAGAGCCCUGGAGGAAGCACGGGCUAAGUUCGUGCCAGCCGCCGCUGUAACAC
rnacentral:rRNA from 1 species